GACGAACGCUGGCGGCGUGCUUAACACAUGCAAGUCGAACGGAAAGGCCCUGCUUUUGUGGGGUGCCCGAGUGGCGAACGGGUGAGUAACACGUGAGUAACCUGCCCUUGACUUUGGGAUAACUUCAGGAAACUGGGGCUAAUACCGGAUAGGAGCUCCCGCUGCAUGGUGGGGGUUGGAAAGUUUCGGCGGUUGGGGAUGGACUCGCGGCUUAUCAGCUUGUUGGUGGGGUAGUGGCUUACCAAGGCGUUGACGGGUAGCCGGCCUGAGAGGGUGACCGGCCACAUUGGGACUGAGAUGCGGCCCAGACUCCUACGGGAGGCAGCAGUGGGGAAUAUUGCACGAUGGGCGGAAGCCUGAUGCAGCAACGCCGCGUGCGGGAUGACGGCCUUCGGGUUGUAAACCGCUUGCGCCUGUGACGAAGCGUGAGUGACGGUAAUGGGUAAAGAAGCACCGGCUAACUACGUG
rnacentral:rRNA from 1 species